UACGUAGGGUGCGAGCGUUAAUCGGAAUUACUGGGCGUAAAGGGCGCGUAGGCGGAUAGUUUAGUCAGAGGUGAAAGCCCAGGGCUCAACCUUGGAACUGCCUUUGAUACUGGCUAUCUUGAGUUCGGGAGAGGUGAGUGGGAAUGCCGAGUGUAGAGGUGAAAUUCGUAGAUAUUCGGCGGAACACCAGUGGCGAAGGCGAACUCACUGGCC
rnacentral:rRNA from 1 species